CCUACGGGAGGCAGCAGGUGGGGAAUCUUGCGCAAUGGGCGAAAGCCUGACGCAGCCAUGCCGCGUGAAUGAUGAAGGUCUUAGGAUUGUAAAAUUCUUUCACCGGGGACGAUAAUGACGGUACCCGGAGAAGAAGCCCCGGCUAACUUCGUGCCAGCAGCCGCGGUAAUACGAAGGGGGCUAGCGUUGCUCGGAAUUACUGGGCGUAAAGGGAGCGUAGGCGGAUAGUUUAGUCAGAGGUGAAAGCCCAGGGCUCAACCUUGGAAUUGCCUUUGAUACUGGCUAUCUUGAGUACGGAAGAGGUAUGUGGAACUCCGAGUGUAGAGGUGAAAUUCGUAGAUAUUCGGAAGAACACCAGUGGCGAAGGCGACAUACUGGUCCGUUACUGACGCUGAGGCUCGAAAGCGUGGGGAGCAAACAGGGAUUAGAUACCCUGGUAGUCCACGCUGUAAACGAUGAGUGNUAGUGUCGCAUGCANNCNUGUCGGUGCGCNGACUACGCAUAAG
rnacentral:rRNA from 1 species